CUUUGUGGGAUGUAAAUAUGGCAUCUGUAGAAAAUAUAUGUGUACAUCUCUACUGGCAAGCUUGUGUCUUUCAUGUUUGGCUCUCAAGUUUUAUUCUUCUGGUCACCCAGAGGGCACAUGCCCACCUAAAACAAGCCAUGGAGCUCACCGGGAGGGGAGACAGAGCCUUGCUCAUUGUACACUUUUUUUUGUCCUUCCUGCAGCACCAAAAGGUCUGUGCUACACGUUUUAUGCACUAGUGACCAGCAUGUCUUGGGCUGAAGGGCAAAGGGCUCUUCUGACAUGGACAUGGAAAACAAAACAGAGUAAAGGAAAACAGUUUGAGCUGUCCUUAAGGUGGCUGCCUGCCUGGGUUGCAACAUUGACCAAGUUUCCUGUAACCAUGAUGAAAGCACAGUGUUAUUGAUAUAAGCAAUCUGCUAUCGAUUUAAGGCCUUCCAGAUUUUGCCUACCCCUUUUAUUAUUCUGAUGCAAAAUGAACAAUGCAAAUAGCAGAACCUUGCUAAUGCAGAGAAUGUUGGCCUCAGGAACCUGUUGUUCCCAUGUUAGUACAUAACCUACAACAGAAUUAAGUUGUAAGUAUUCUUUUUUUAUUUAUCUUUUAUACAUGUAUAUAUACCAUCCUAUCUCCAAGUAUUUCUUGCAAUCUUGCUGAUAACAGACUGUGAGCACGUGGCUUGCCAUCCUCAUGACCUGCUGGGAAAGAUGUAGGCCACUGUUUAGCUAUCUAAGUCUCAUACCUGUGGACCUUGCCCAAGAAAGCAUACAUUGAUUCAGUAGCCAGGAGCAAAAAAGACUGAGUUCUUGUUGCAAAGAGACUGAGCUCUUUAAGAUGUAGCUGUUUCACUCAUGCUUGAAAAUGUGGGAAGACAUAAGUCAGACCCUCUAUAUACAGCCAAGAUGCUAAUUAGCCAAUCAAGUAACCAAACAAGGGCAUUCAAGGACAACAACCCAUCUGGGAAGAGUUUGGGGUGGGACGAGUGGGAGGAGGCCACCCACCCACAGGAGCCUGAGCACAGAUGCAGGACAAUUCAAGGACAGGAGACAACCACAAGCUGUACACCUUAAACAUGAAGAUAAGGAUGAUCUUGGUAGAAAGAACCAUGUUUAAAUUGGAGAAGUCUUUAAAAUUCCUGUUUCUCAUAAAGGAGAGUAAAGCAAAGAUGUGUCUAAAAAUUCCACAGAAAACUUAUCUGUUGGCUUGUCCCCUGUCUCCACAGCUGUUAAACCACAUAUCAUGCACCCUCAGUGAUAUUCUCAAGAAUGGAUGUGUUAAGGCCAUGGCAAAAGAGUCAGAAGAGGAUUUUUAGGGAAUGGCUGCUCCUGUGAGCAGUUUUGGGAGCACAGUAAUCCCAGCCAGGAGCAGGUCUUGCACUCUCCAGAUUGCGGAGGCAUAACAGAGUUUUGGGAUGAAAUGUUGGUUAGGGGCUUAAAAGGGGAACUUGGCAAGCUGAAUAGCUGAAAGAAAUACAUCACAUGCCCUGAUUUCAAUAAACAUAAUGUGACAUAACUUGGCAAUACUGUGUUUUUGUGGUUAAUCAUUUAGUUUUAUCAGCUUGCAUACACGUCGUCUUUAUUAAACAGUAACUGUCCUUCAUGAAUCAUCCCGUUCAAGGCCAAGAAAAUAGCCAGAGGCCAUGCUAUGCUCUGGGCUGAGCAGAUGAUGAAUGGUAUGAAGAAAGGAACGCUGCUUUCUGCCACCCAACACCACUUCCUCAGAAGGAAGGACAAGGAGAUGAUAAUGUUGGGCCUCUCUAGAACUAAUAAAUCGGACUUGCAUCCCUCUAGAGCAAUCAGACUUACCUAAGUCUAUGUCAUGUGAAUUCUGAA